CAGGCUGCCCCAGCCAACUGCACAGAUAGCGCGUUCCAGAAGCAAACAAACUCACCAGCAAUCAUCUACUGAGUAACAAAAGCCUGCUUCAUCAAAAGCCCCUCUAUAUGCACGCUCCAAAAUACAGCCUUGGCGAUUUCACUGUGCUGUCCUGUCCAAUGUUUGCAGCUGUUUUCUAAAAAGCAAGAGGAGAAAUUAUGCUCACAAUCUGGUUGUUGUUCCCUCAAGUCACAAUAUCCAACUUUUUGUGGAAAGGAGGGAACCUCUAUACAAUUAUUUAUUUUUGCUAAUACAGCAACACUGCAAAUUAAGUAAAUUACAAGGCAUCAGGGUAUCAUCUAAGUCUCUAUGCAGUCCUGCAUUUCAAUCCAAGUAUUAUACAAAAACAAGAACAACAAUAACCAAAAAAAACCCACCUCCCACUAAAUCUCAACUGUUCCUCCAUUCGGAGGGAACCAGUAAGGUGCAAUAAACACUGAAAUAUACUGAAAUGCAUUUGUUAGCCAUCAACCCUUCUAAACUUUCUUGUUUAGCUGACAAAAUUGAUCCUUACCAAAAAACUUGGAGAGAGAUCUCCAACCCAAGUUCACUGUCACAAGUUACUUUGAUGUUCUUCCAGAUUAAUACAGCUGUAGCACUUCCUGUGUUACUGCAGGCAUCCUGCUGUCUGGAAACCACCUUCCCAAACAGGCAGGCCUAUUUGCUCCUUCAGAACACUGCUGAAAACAUCCACCUUCUGCCUGCGACUAGGAAUCACUGUUGCUACAGUUAAACGCUAUUUCAAACAUAAACUUCAGAAUUAAUUGUAAUGAUAAAAGAGGUAAUUUUUCACACUUCAGCAUAAAAUGCAAUUUUAUAUAAAAACUAAAAAAAGUCAUCAGGCUUGAAGGAAUGAAGCAGAGCUCUUUUGUAAUCCAGAUUUUCAAUCAGUGCUUGCUUUGUAUGUAUAGAUAAACAAAUUUCCACUACUAUUUCAUCCAAGAAGUCUUGCUUCUCUUAGAAAGCAAAUGGUAAAACACCAGACAGCGAAUAUUCUUACAAGUGCUUACUCCAUCUUAAAAACAACAUUCUAAACGAAACCCACACGCUCCUAACCCCACCCAAAUUCCACAGAAGCCAGUGUGAAUCCAGCAAGAGCCUGAUGAAGUACAUGGUACUGCUCACCACAGAGCUGACCACCGUCCAGCGAUCUAUCCAUCGCUAUUCUGAAAGCCACCAAAAUGCUACAACUUCAUACUCAAGUUGGAUAUAAUAAAAAAAAAAAGCAAACAAACAACAGUGAAAAGCCCACCAAACUAGUAAAAAAGAAAAAUGAUGAGCACUGGUUGAUAAGUUGGAGAAGGCGAACCAAAGGGAGGCGCUGGAAAACAGAGCUGAAGCAAGCCCUGAGCCUCUUCAAAAUCACACUCCGUAGAGCACAAAAACUGUAAAGACUGCAGAAUGACAGUUCGGCUUGAAAAUACUUUCCUUGCUUAUCUGCCAAAUUUCCUGCAAGCAGAGAAGGAUUUGCUACUCAGUGAGGUAUCUAUACAGAUUGUUCUCCCUGUCCUAUUCACCAUCUACUUUUCCAAAUCUUUUGGAUAUCAGUUGAAUUUUUGAAAGUAGACUUAACCACGGAUUUCAACUUUUAAAAUUCAGUCAACAUUCUCUGGUCUGGGAGAAGACUUCUUCCACAGAACAUGAAUGGAGAAUUUGGAGAUGCCAGGGAUUAAACCCGAGACCUCAUACGUGCAAAGCGUGUGCUCUACCACUGAGCUACAUCCCCUGCCAGACAAAGAGAAAGUGGAAUUUGCACUCAUUGCAACCUGAAUGCUUUCCUUUCAUAGCUCUGAGUACAAGUUGUCUUCUUUAAGCUGAUCUGUACCCUUCAACCUCGUUGCUUUUCUCACAAGAUACUGAAACAAAACAUUCAGCUUGGGGUUUCAAAGAAACACUUUGUUCAACUAGACACAGCAGUUUUCAGCAUUUGAUUGCCACAAAAGGAGAAAGAAAGAAAGAAAAAGAAAGAAAG
ensembl:lncRNA